UACGUAGGGUGCGAGCGUUAAUCGGAAUUACUGGGCGUAAAGCGUGCGCAGGCGGUGAGCUGUGUCCGAUGUGAAAGCCCCGGGCUUAACCUGGGAAUGGCAUUGGAAACUGGCGAACUGGAGUGUGGCAGAGGGGGGUGGAAUUCCGCGUGUAGCAGUGAAAUGCGUAGAGAUGCGGAGGAACACCCGUGGCGAAGGCGGUUCUCUGGGACGGUACUGACGCUGAGACGCGAAAGCGUGGGGAGCGAACAGG
rnacentral:rRNA from 1 species